UAAUUGGUUGACACCUAUGAUUUACUAUCUGUCCAGCAGAAAAGUUUGUGCAGUGUGGUGAUAACUCUCCUUUAGAGAAAUAAGGGCUGUUCUUUGAGACUAUUCCACCUUUUAAAACUUCUGAGUUAUUUUGCCAUCCAAAUUAAGGUUUUAUAUUUAAGAUAGUAGAAAUCUCCUAUCUAUGUGUCUGACCUUAACAAAUCCUGAGUAAUCUGUUGGUUAAAACUGUAGCAUUGAAGCAAUCUUUUGCUUUUGUGCUUGUUUUUCUAGACUGCUCUCGUGCAUUUGUAGGGUGUUAAGUAGUGUUAAUUACCAACAGUAGCAGGGAGUUAUGUGUGGUUAUGUCAUCAAUUUGUGAAGAGCUCUCUUCGUUUUGUGUAAGAGCUAGUAGGGUAAAAAAUCAUUGUAGAAUCAACUGUGUUAGAAAAAAAUCAUGAUCAUCAAAUCCAGCUGUUAGCCUGACCUACUGAGUCCAGUCACUGAACUGUGCCCCUUAGUGUCAUGUCCGUGUGUGCCAAAUACACUGGCUGGGGAUUCUACCAUGUGUCUGGGCAGCCUGUUCCAGUGCUUGACCGACAUCUAAAGAAAUUGUUUUUUAUAUUCAGUCAAAACCUCCUCAUUGUUAUUCUCACUGUUUCAGUGGUUUUGAGGUCCAGUGUUUCCUUAGGGUGUGCUUACACUGCAUGGAGUGGUGUGGAGGUGCUGUAGUUACAAAUGGCAACAUGUAGAAACGGUUCUGUAUCAAUGGCGGACAAGUAUUGCAAAGCUGCCUAGUUUGGCCAAGGUACUGUGGAAAGAUUCCUUCUGGUAAUCUGGAUUUGCUCACAUCUGUCUAUGCUGUAGCAUUGGUAUGUCUGCACUACAUGUGUUAUAUGCAGUUUAGGUAUACUGUUUCACGCUCUCUUUACAAAACUUAAGUGGUAAAAUUGUUUGCAUCUGGGAGAUCUUACAUAUGAUAUUAAGUUGAAAGAAUUUCAUAUGCAGUGGUUAAGUGGUUUUCACCUGUCAGAUGCUUUUGUCUGCAAACUGAGUGCUUUUUAUGUUAGCUUCAUACAGGCUUACUAUAUUUGUCGAUCGAUGAUAAGUUUUAACUAAAACAAUGAAAUUGUAUAUGAAGUACUAUGUUCAAGGUGUGCAGCUACUUAUAUAUACUUGAAAUGCUGUCAACUGACAGUGCAAAGGGAUGUGGCAAGUUUGAGAUGGAUUUGGAGGAUCAAAGUGAUGUAGUCUAGUUUUAUUGUGUUGCCUUGUAAGAACUUCCUUAGUUUGGAAGUCACUGUAUAUUUUAAAUUUUUUGAAAGCCAGUGAGAAUCAGAGUAGCCAUAAUUAUUGUAGCACACUUUUUUUGUUGAAAAUACCCAAAUAAUGAACUGCAUGCCGAACUUAAAGUUCAGGCUUCAUUCACAUUUCGGAACUAUCAUGACAUUUGCGCACAGGAGGUGAAUAUAUAAACUGUGAGACUGUAUGUAAAGGGUUUUUUUUAGUUGUGUAAGUUUCUACUUAAUUAAGAAUUCAGGCUGAUGUGGGGGACUAUUUAUUAAACUUUGGUCAUUGAGAUGUGUAUGGGAACUGCUGAAUCACAGCCUGAACCUCUGACUGAUCACCUGAUGGAGCAAUGAGUCAGCCACAGGAGCACAGGUGAAGGCAAUUCAGCUGUGCUGCUGGAAGGGGUGGAGCCUGGCUGCACCUCUCCUAAACCCCAUUUAAGAGCUGGCUACCAGUGGGGAAGGAUCUCUUUCUGGAGAUCCCUCUUUUUGGAGUUGUCUAAUAAGCCCUGGAUAAGGGGUCCUGUAGCUGCUACCAGAGAGCAGAGCUCAGCACUGCUCUCUGCUCCCUAUGAGGAGCUGCAGCUGCCUUGAGGGCUCCUCACAGCCUACUUUGCUCUGGGAGCAACAAACUUAGAGCUCUCAGACAUUCCUCUAGUGUCUUGCCCUCAAGACCCUUCAAGGUCCUUAUAGCUCUCUGGAGCUGGAGCAUGAACUCUUGAACUCUCAGGCCAUGGCCUCUCCGACCCAACUCAGCCCUGUUUUGGCUGUCAUGGAACACUUGUUGGGUCUCAUCAUCGUUUCCUUACGAUAUCACAAGUCACAUCCCUACCAACCACUAUAAAUACAGAGGUGCUGACAACAGAACACCAGUUGAUGACUGACUUUUGUCUGGGAAGCACAUGCUUGAGACCAGGAGCUUUUUACCUAGAUCCUUCCCUCCCAUUCUAGGAAUUUUUGUGGAGGAGGAUGGAUUCUUCUCCACCGAAGAAGCUCCAGCUUCUAGAGAGCAGCAGCAAGCUCAAGCCAAUGCAUGUAGACCCACUGGAGGGCAAUGUUGAGCCCAUGGAGGUGUACCUACCUCCACAGGGUGAACAGAUGAAGGUAGAUCUAUUGCCAUCAGACCUGGGCAAGCCCUGUAGCAUCAUGCUUGCCCAGAAACAUCUCUAUAUCCAUUGGUGGUGCAGCAGGAGCUCUCGAUUUCUAUCUUGGUGUUGAAGAGUCGCAAAUGAGCUUCUGCUCUCUAGAGUCCCUUUUUCCCUGUCCCCCAUCCUCAUCCUUCCUCGAGACCUCUCACCUCUUCUUUCCCAAGCUCUGAGGAAAAGAGAAGGACUGGGACUGGUGUCCUCUAAGCUUCUGCACAGAGAAAACAGGAGUCCAGUGGAUGGCCCCCAGCUCUCUGUGGCCACCAUGCAAGUUCCAAGGAUGAGGGCAGGACUGAGACUGGUGUUGUUAUGCUUCUGUACCAGGACAAUGGCAGGAGUCCAGUGGAUGGCCCUGAGCUCCCUGCAGCCUCUAGGUGAGCCCUCAAGAAGAGGCCAGAACUGGGAUGGGGUCCUCUGAGUUGCAGUAUAAAGACAACAUAUGGAGUCUAGCCCUGAGUCCCUGUAGGCAGUCUUGAAGAAGAAAGCAGGACUGGAUCUGGUGUCCUCAAAACUGCUGUGCUGGGACAAGAGGAGUCCAGUAGAUGGCCAUGAGAUACUUGAUGCAAGUGCUAAAGAGGAAGGCGGGACUGGGACCAGCAUCCUCUGAGUUGCUGUGUUGGCACAAUAGGAAUAGUCCAGCAGGCAGCCCCAAGCUCUCAGUGGACUCCAGGAAAGUCCUGAGGAAGAGGGCGGGACUGGUAAUAGCAUCCUCUAAGCUGCUGUGUCAGGUCCAGGAGGAAUCAAUUAGGCAGCCCCAAGCUCCCUGUGGCCUUCAGGCAGCUUCAGAGAAGGUACAGAGGCAGCUUUCUGUUGGAGAAGCAGCAGACUUUGAUUUGGACAGGAAGAAGGACUCAAGUUCAGCAUAAUUCCAGUUGCUCCGCAAGGACUUCUAUUUCAAAACUGAACAAAAAACAGUUUAAAAGAACAAUACAAAAUAACAAUGAUAAGAAAAACUUUGUUUCUUCUGAAACAGAGCCAGUAAGUUUACCAUUUUUGGUACUUCAGAGUCUGCCUUGGGUUUCCUGGAUUUGUUUCCCCAGAAGGAACAACUCAGCCCCUUAAGAAGGGGCUUGGGCACAUGGCAGGCUGUGGGCAUGGCCUUUGCUCAGCACUGGGUACAGAGGGGUGAGGAGGAAUGGAGGACUGUGGAGAUUUACUGAAGGGGGCUGUGUAAAAUAUUUGAUUACAAUCGCACUUGAAAAAGUAGAAGAAAAAAUUGAAAAUGCAAAAAUGCUUGAAAAAGUAAAAAUCCUUUAAAAUGCUGUUUUUGUCUAAAAACCAUUUUGAAGACGGUGUAUGAGAAAGAAAUAUGUUUUGUGAAAUUGUUUCAGAUAAUAUGCACACAAGGUUCUCAUACCUAUUUUUAUUGAGUAACAAUAUCUGUUUUUACAGAGAUUGCAUCAUGAAAUGAGAGAGGGAAAAUGGAGACAGGAAAGAAAACAUGACAGAAGAUGAUAUUUGAACAGCUUGUUAAUUGAGGGGGUGGACAAAAUCCAGUCAUGCUCUUAAUUUGAAGUAUCUUGCUUUGCUUCUGUCUUCUGUAGUGUAAAUUUAUUAAUUUAUUAAUAGGAUUUGAGAGCACUGCACAUCUGUUCUGUUUUGAAGCUGAUACUUGCUAUAUGCUUAGACCCUUGGUAGCAGGAAAUAAGUAGUCAUAUUGGAUAUCCAAAAUGGCAAUGUAUGAACAGGGCACGGUCAAGAAUCCCUUAGGAGUUUAGUUUUUAUGGAACUUCAACAUUUUUGUGCUGUGGAGAGAUAGUAAUUCUAAAACUUGAAGGCGCUGGGGUGGGAAGAGUGGGCUGAUGGCUACAUCUGCACAGGGAAGAAUCUUUUGGUUACAAUUCUUGGGCAUCUGCCCAGCCACCUCUUCUUCCCACCUGCAGCAUUGCUCUCAGCAGGCAAAUCUAAACAUUGUCAUCAGCAACAAGACAGCUCUCAGCAACUUUGUUCUGCAUCUUUCUCUAUUGCAGUAGGGGAAGAGAAGCUUGCAUCUGCUAUCUCCAAAGAGACCAGCAAGGGAGCUUGGUCUGCCUACUGAGAACAACUCUGCAGAUGCACCAGAUUUCAUUUUAUUGUAAUACCAAGUCAGCUUGCUGUUAUCACUCUAUGGCAUAACAAAUGAUAGUGUUUCAGGAGACUAUUUAAGAGUCUGUGUUAUAAUAAAGCAAGAUUCAAUGCUUUUGGGUGACUCAGCUUGUAAUGACGCUGUAUACGCUCUCCUAUUCUGUUGUGACAGCAUUAGUCUUUGCACCUCUUGGGGAAAACUAAUAAAAUUCACCAGAAAGUAAUCUAAGCCCUUUAAAUUUUAACUUGAGUGAGCCUGUGAUCCCAUAAAGGGUGAUAAUUAAUAUAUGUAGCUACUCAUUUCCUUCCCAUCUAGUACUGUGUGCCUUAUUUAGUCAGCCUUUUGGUUAAACUUUCUUAUUAAAUAUUUGAAUGCUGGUUUGCAAACAGGAGUACAGAGUUUUUACUGCAAAAUAUUACUAGGGGUUUAAUAUCAUAAUGAUGUUGUGGGAAAUAUCUGCAGGUUUUUCUUGCUGUCGUGCGUUUCUCUUUAAGGUAAUCCAGUUCUGAGCAGCUUUGUGCCAGGCUUGUUCUGUAUAAAGGAAUAAUUCAGAUAUAAACUACCAAAUCUGCUGUCUAAAAUUAAUGGG